rnacentral:rRNA from 1 species
GACGAACGCUGGCGGCGUGCCUAAUACAUGCAAGUAGAACGCUGAAGAGAGGAGCUUGCUCUUCUUGGAUGAGUUGCGAACGGGUGAGUAACGCGUAGGUAACCUGCCUUGUAGCGGGGGAUAACUAUUGGAAACGAUAGCUAAUACCGCAUAACAAUGGAUGACACAUGUCAUUUAUUUGAAAGGGGCAAUUGCUCCACUACAAGAUGGACCUGCGUUGUAUUAGCUAGUAGGUGAGGUAAUGGCUCACCUAGGCGACGAUACAUAGCCGACCUGAGAGGGUGAUCGGCCACACUGGGACUGAGACACGGCCCAGACUCCUACGGGAGGCAGCAGUAGGGAAUCUUCGGCAAUGGGGGCAACCCUGACCGAGCAGCGCCGCGUGAGUGAAGAAGGUUUUCGGAUCGUAAAGCUCUGUUGUAAGUCAAGAACGGGUGUGAGAGUGGAAAGUUCACACUGUGACGGUAGCUUACCAGAAAGGGACGGCUAACUACGUG